rnacentral:rRNA from 1 species
CAGUAGCCGCGGUAAUACGUAGGUGGCAAGCGUUGUCCGGAAUUAUUGGGCGUAAAGGGCUCGCAGGCGGUUUCUUAAGUCUGAUGUGAAAGCCCCCGGCUCAACCGGGGAGGGUCAUUGGAAACUGGGAAACUUGAGUGCAGAAGAAGAGAGUGGAAUUCCACGUGUAGCGGUGAAAUGCGUAGAGAUGUGGAGGAACACCAGUGGCGAAGGCGACUCUCUGGUCUGUAACUGACGCUAAGGAGCGAAAGCGUGGGGAGCGAACAGGAUUAGAGACCCCCGUAGUCCCUGUCUCUUAUAC